rnacentral:lncRNA from 1 species
AAAAAAGAUUUUGAUCAAAAGGAGGUUAAUCUGGGUGGUCUUGACCUAAGCAGAUGAGUUCUCUAAAAGGGAGAUGUUUCACCAAUGGCUUCAAAGAAGCAAGUGGCCAUGUACUGAAUUGCUUAUGGAGAAGGGUGUCCUCUAGGAGCGAAGGGCCUCGGUCCCACCACGACAAACAAGUAAAUUCUACUGACAAACAUGAAGCUCACUUAGAGCGUCAAAGAAGACCCUGAGCUCCGGGUGAGGAUAGUCUGGCUGACCCUUUGACUGACUGCCACUUUUGGAGAUCCUCAGCAGAGGACCUAGCUAAAUCCUGCCCAGACUCUUGACCUCCAUAAACUGUGAGUUUCUGCAAGGGAGCAGCUUAGCAGGAUACUUCUGACUUGAGCAUCUCUCAAAAGGUUGCAAUGAAGAUGUAAGCAGUGGCUACAUUUAUCUGAAGGUUUGACGGUGGAUGGAGAAUCUUUUUUCAAAUGUGAUUUUCUAACAUAACUGGAAAUCUGUGCCAACUUUUUUUUGGGGGGGCCUCAGUUCCUGCUCAAGCUUGCCUCUCCUCAGAUUGCUUAAGCGUGCUCACGACACGAAGUCUGCCUUCAUCUGGAGAGAGCAGUGUGGAAGGCACAAUGUGUUUUGUAAUCUAGGCUAUAUGACACACUGACGUUGCCUCAAAAUUCUUUAGAUCAGCCCUACUAACUAAGGCAUUGCACUAUACAAUCUUGUGAAUACCAGGAGGUGAGAAUCAUUGGGGGUCAUGUCAGUGAUAGCCUACCACACAUGCUACAUGUUCCAUCAUUCUACUUCCAAACUUUCUAUGUUUUUACAUUUCAGAGAUGUUUCUUAUAAAUAGCAUAUAAGUUUUACUCCACCUGCCAAUUAUUUCUCUUUAAACUUCAGGAGUCAGUAAGUCACAUCAACUUACAUUUAAUGUAAUUUAUGAUCUACAUUAGUGUAAGUCUACCAACCUACUAUAGAUGACUUAUUUGUCUUACUUUUUCAGUAUUUCUUUUUCUCUGUCUUUCUUUGGCAUUGAUACGCUUUAUUAUUGUAUAUUACUCCUAUAUUAGCUUGACAAUUUUGUGGUGUUUGUGUGAGUUCAACUUUUUUUUAACGUGAGUGUACAGAAUGCAUCGUGCU